UGGGGAAUAUUGCACAAUGGGCGCAAGCCUGAUGCAGCGACGCCGCGUGAGGGAUGACGGCCUUCGGGUUGUAAACCUCUGUUAGCAUCGAAGAAGCGAAAGUGUCGGUAGGUGCAGAGAAAGCGCCGGCUAACUACGUGCCAGCAGCCGCGGUAAUACGUAGGGCGCGAGCGUUGUCCGGAAUUAUUGGGCGUAAAGAGCUUGUAGGCGGUUGGUCGCGUCUGCUGUGAAAGGCCGGGGCUUAACUCCGGUUUUGCAGUGGGUACGGGCUAACUAGAGUGCAGUAGGGGAGACUGGAAUUCCUGGUGUAGCGGUGGAAUGCACAGAUAUCAGGAGGAACACCGAUGGCGAAGGCAGGUCUCUGGGCUGUAACUGACGCUGAGAAGCGAAAGCAUGGGGAGCGAACAGGAUUAGAUACCCUGGUAGUCCAUGCCGUAAACGUUGGGCACUAGGUGUGGGGGACAUUCCACGUUUUCCGCGCCGUAGCUAACGCAUUAAGUGCCCCGCCUGGGGAGUACGGCCGCAAGGCUA
rnacentral:rRNA from 1 species